rnacentral:lncRNA from 1 species
AUGUCCAUUUGUAAAAACAGAGACACUAAUAAGCCCGAUGUGAAAGGCACAAUUGCCGAGAUUUCUAGCUGUAUUUUGGGUCUUGGAGGGACAUCCUUUGCUCUCAGAAGCUUAGUACGGACUGGGGUAUUUUUACCUACAGAAUACAAAGUGGCUUUUCAUCUUGUUGCUUUUCUCCAGCCAUCAGAGGAAGCUGUGGCCAAACAGUGUGCAUCACUGGGGAGAAAAAGCCAUCUCUGUUGACUUCAAUUUGAGGAAAUGUCAUUCAGAUUUGGCCAACAUCUCAUCAAGCCCUCCGUGGUGUUUCUCAAAACAGAACUGUCCUUUGCCUUGGUGAACAGGAAGCCUGUGGUACCUGGACGUAUCCUUUUUUUUUUUUAAGAGAGAAAACAGACCAAAUGAACACAGCCAUUAACCUCUAGUAUUCGACCAAAAAGGUAAGCAAGGAAUCCUCCUGUCUCCCCCUUUGGAGAAACCAGGUAGGACAAUAUUCACAUUUAUUCUGAAUCCAGUUGGUGGCACCAGUAAUAUGCUUGAUCAGUGCUGCAGAACUUCUGAAAAGGAGUUGCUUAGCAACUGUGGCUUUGGAGGUGAGUUUUUGCAUGACCUUUUCACUGUUGUGGCUGUGUAAAUAAAUAGGUGCUUCUAAAAUGGAUCCAAUGAAUAUCCUUAGCACUUUGUUUUCAGGUGUCAAGUGUGCACUUUAAUAGUAAGAUAAGAGAUUGGGUGAUGCACUUGUGUUGUGGAAGUAAGGUGUUACAUGAAGAUUUGAGACUGGCUUGGUUUCUUUACCUCUUGGAGAUCAUUCAAGCUGUGAAUUUUAAUUGCACUCAAACACAUAAAUAUACUACAAAAUAUAUAUAUAUAUUUUAUGUUAGAGUCUGAGAUAGCAUUUUCUCUUGGAAAACAUCCCAGCUCCUAGAUCAUUGUCUGGUGCCAUUGGUGGUGUGGGGUAUUUUAUUUCCCUCUGACCAUCGAUUUCAGUAGAAGCUUUAUUCUUUGCGGUGGGAGAGGGAGAAUUUGGUGAAAUGCCCUGGAGAGUUGUUUUUAUGUUGUUGAAAGUAUCACUCGUGACUGUAUGUGGAUGACAUUUGUACUAACUCUUCAAAAAUUUUAUUCCCCCCCACCCACCCC